CUUGGUACUGAGUGCUGGUAAGGGAUUUCUUGUGCAGCACGUGGUGACAAAAUAAGUCUGCAGCUAAGAGUGUUGCUAGGGUGGAAGGAGUUGAUAUAAAAACAUUUAACAUACAAUACAGAUCUUCGAAAAAAAAGUAGGGUUCGGGUGAAUUUUUUCUUUUUAACUUAUGUAGGAAUAUUGAAGAGUGCACAAGAAUGAUAAGGAUGAAUUUAGAACUGCUACUCAAGUUUUACUGAAAUAUGUUGAUAAUUCACUAGUAUUUGUCAACUUUCCAUGGGAACUAGGAGUUGCUAUGAACUCCCUUCUGCCAGGAUCUUCACAAAUAAUGUUUUGGAUUUGGUAUGUACAAAAUGAGCACUGGAGGGCUUACAGAUGAUUUAAUUACUGAGCAGUGUAUUGAUUGAGCAGUGUAUUGCUGUUAAGAGGAAGGAACUGAGGAAGUUAUAACACAUAGUAAAUCUGUGCUAUAUGCAAGAGAUGAAUUCAUGCCUCUACUGAGGAAUGACCCAGGAAGGAUUUCCCUAAAUUUCCCUGGAAUCAGACUGCGCUGCCCCAGACAGUAGGGAUGUACAGAGGGGCUGAGCAAACUGCCCCAUAGGUGAAGGUGAGUGAGUGAAUUCUUCCACUGGCUCUUAAGAUUAGUCUCCUCUUAUUAUUUUAAGACGGUGGUGGUUUGUUGAGCAAAGUGAACAGACAGCUUGUUCUCAAGAUCAAGAUUAAUUAAUUGAUGCAUGUUUUGUACUUGAGCAAAUGAAGUGAUGCAGAACAGAAGCCCAUCACAACACUAGCCAUAGGAACUUUACGGAAGUGACAGUAGAAGUACAGGGAAUGGUUAUUCACGUUCAACUGUUUGCUUUCCCAUCAAGUAAUUUUUAUUUUUUUUAUUCCCCCUGCUUUUUCAAAGACCAGUUUGCAGACACUGAAGAACUUCAUGGAUUUAUUCAGAAACAUGGGGGCCGCAGUGCCAAUCAAGGAUUCAGGCAGCCAAGCAGAGCAAGCGAAGAGACUAAUUCUAAAAUCGGUGGUCUCGGUAUGUUUGGGUGGAAGCUUGGGUUGAUAUUUAGAGCAGGAUUAUUGGGAACUGGGCUUUAAUUUCAGACUCUGGCAUUGUGUAUUUGGCAAGAAAAAACAAACUCUUACAUCUUCCAGUGCCUUGGUUUGCCUCUAUUUCAGGAGUACUGCUCUAACUCCUGUAAGUAUGUGGUAUGUAAAUUAAUGAACACCUGGAUGCUUCUUGAGAGGAAAGAGCUACAUCUGUGCAAAUGGUAUAAAAAGUUACUUUACUUCCACGUGAUAAACACAUACUAUUUGGUGGGCUGUCAGUACUGUUAAACACCCUUUCACUAAACAACAGACCCACAGCUUGCUCAGACGCAAUUUUUUCUGGUAUCUGUCAGAUUCUCAAAUAUGAGGUGGCAUUUCCUUGAACUUUGCAUUGCAGAUGGAUUUUGCAACUAUGCUGAAUUAGUUGCCUCCUUGGAGUAAAAGGAGAUUAUCUGCUCGUUUGAGGUCUUGAAGUUGUUUCUGAUACUUUAUCAAAAGUAUCAAUGCUAAGGCAAACAUUGAAACAAAAAAUUACGUUCCAAAGCUUUUUGACCUUUCAGUGCACAUAUCCCAGCUGAAUAAAAGGAGUUAUGCAACCUCUUGCCCUUUCUUGCAACAUCCUUGCGGCAGCUAUAGUAACUGCUUAUGUCAAAAAGUAAUAUUAGAAAGUAUUUAAUGUGUUUUUAGAUUCUGUCUAAUGCAACUUAGCUGACAAAGAAGAGCCAAUGCCGUGUGACCAGCUCUCUACAGACAUUGGGAAAUGUGGCGCAAACUACAUUUUGAGAACGUCAGAUCUGAUUUUGAGGCCAUGUGUGAAGCUGGAAAUUUCCAAGCAAUGCAAAUUAUUGCCAGACAUAGGGAGUUGCCAGACUGCUGUGAAGUCAAAACAUUGCUAGGAGAACAGGAAGGUUCAAGCAGAGCCAUCAAGUUCAUAGGACAAGCAGAAGGAGCGUCCUGCUCCCUGACAUGCUCAUGACCCUGUUCCUUCUACACAUGUACACUUCCAUGGGAUUUAGUGGUGGGGUUUGUCUGUGACGGUAAGACUGAAUGAUUCCCUGUUUGCCAUCACUGCUGACUUAAUAAAUGGCAUGAUCAAG